UUUUCCUCAUUGUUCUCUCGAUUGUUAGCAAGCGUUGCAGAAGCCAUUCAAUCCCUUUGAUUCAUACCCGGAUGCGUUACGCUAGAACAACACAUAAACCUCAACAAAGGUUAUCAUUUUCCCAAGUUCUCCAUUUCUUUCUUCAACAUAUUCUCUCCAGUCUCGAGAGUCGAGACUACCAGGUUUUGUGAGUGCAUGAUAUAUUUGGAGACAAACCAGUAUCAAUCUCAGGGUCAAUUGCAAUUCAACUUCGUUUAACCAUUGGCAUUACAGCCUUCGUGGAGAAGACCCUUCAACUCUAUAAAACGAAGAACAACUUUAUGUGCAAUCACAAAUGCUACUCCAUCCUCUACCUGGAAUUGCAAUUCACUGUUUUUUUUUCUUUUGGUCUAGCACGCGAAGCUCAAGCUAUGCUAAUUUUUUAACAUUCUGGGUUGGAUUAGUGAGAGAAAGAGACAAAAAGUACAUAGCGGCUUACAAAUCCCAGGUACAGUACCGAAUUAUUGUCAAAGCCAGUGCAACUCGAAUUUUGGCUACCACCAAGUGGUAAUAUUUGGGCUGCAACAAGUGCGCACCACUACAGUGGUAGGUGAAGUCGGGAACCAUGAAUGCACUAAAUGUGAAAACAAGGUCGAGGAACCUGUAACGCGGUACCUUCUUCGUUUUAAAGUGAAACUAUAUCGGCAGGACCAUAUUUGCGUCGGUGGACAGUGAAGUCUGAUGGAUCAUCCACCCCACUGCCUUGGACAUAGUCAGGAGGAAGAGAAAAGUGAAAGGUGGUUGUAGCUUUUGAUAAGAUCCUCCUGAAUGUUGAACUACCAAAUUAUGCUUGCAGUGUAUAACGUGAAGAAGCAAACCACCCCCAUGAAGCCCAACCUCCCCUCCAUCUACUACUGCACCUGCGUAUAACGUGACCUAGAUGCAGAUGAUUAAACACUAACUGCGAAGACCCGGUUGUCCCCUAAAUGCCACCUCCACUUUGGUUUAUAGCGAUGAAGACUAGCUUUGUAAUUCCAUUCCAAAAAAAAUCAUACUUCUCUGCCAUACACACAAGGUCAAUGUUAAUCAAUGACGAGCACUAUGGUAGGUGAUUAAAGUUAAGGAGGGAUGACUUUAACAAAAUAUCAAUAAAGGGUAGAAUCUGUCUUCGCAAGGUUGGUAACUCACCUCUCCAAGGUUACUAACUUGGAUCGCAAUGUUGUGAAUUGGGUUAUACGAUUAUCUGGAUAUGAAAUUUAAGAAUUAUUGUUUUUGUUCUUUCAGUGGAUAACCAUAACAAUGAAACCAAGUAUUGCACUUAUCCAA